CAGUGAUCCAUACGUCAAGUUCAAACUUGGAGGAAAAGAAGUGUUUAGGAGUAAAACAAUACACAAGAACCUCAAUCCUGUAUGGGAAGAAAAAGCUUGCAUUCUUAUAGAUAACCCAAGAGAACGCUUAUAUAUAAAGGUUUUUGAUUAUGACUUCGGGCUUCAAGAUGACUUUAUUGGUUCAGCGUUUUUGAAUCUUGAAUCAUUAGAAUUAAACAGGCAAGCAGAUGUUACCUUGAGCCUGAAGGACCCUCGUUACCCUGACCAUGAUUUGGGAAAUAUAUUGUUAUCAGUUCUGUUGGCUCCUAGAGAACAACAGCGUGAAGUGGUAAUUUUAAGAUUUUAAUACAUGUCAUCACUUCUGUUAUCUUUCUACAAUUGGAUGGCUUAAAGCAUGAGAACUGUUUAUCAUGAGGUUAAUUUGAUUUUUUCAGUUCUUAGGAUAAUGUUGAGCAGUGUUUCUAUUAAGCAUAUUUUUUCUGCGUUGGAUCCUCUCUGAGAAAGUAGUGAAUUAUCCAGAUAGAACAUAAGUGAUCUGCAGGUUGUCAAACCCAAUUGCAGCGGCAUGAUGGUGAUUAACAAGGACAACAUCAAUAAGCUACUGGAGGAGAAUUUUAAACCUACUGCUGCCACCUCUAGACAAGAAUAUUGAAAUACUAUUCCACUCUGAAAAGAAAGAAACUUGAGGAAGAGUAGUAUUCUUGAUUUUUGGCUUUUAGUAUGAUAGUUUUAAGUUUCAUUGAGAGUUUUCAAUAGAAAAAUAGUCUUUUUCUGCAUUUAUUGCAAUUCCUUCAUCAAUCUCAGUUUUUAAGUUACGUAAGUGCUAGUGAAAAUGUUUUGUUGUUUUAAAUAUGAAUCCUGUUAUUUUGACAACUUCUGUCUGCAAUUUUACAGGUUGAGUUUUGACUUGUUUUGUAAUAGUCCUUUUGCAGUAGAAAUAUGAGACAUGAAAUCUUGCUCAGAGGUGGCAAAAUAAUGUAAACUCCUUUAUCAGGAGGUGAAAAAAAGAAUUUGGUGAGAUCUUCCAUUUGCAUUCAUUAUCUGUUCUAUAAACAGGGGUAUGAUCAAGUUUAUAUUUGUAAGAGUGUGUAUGAUUCUGUGAAGAAAAAGGACACUGCUGUGUCUGCUAUAUACCUAACAAAUAUUGGUGGCUUGUGAUAUUCUUUUUCCACUUUUCUUUGAGCUCUAGAGAGUAACUCAGUAAUAGGAACUAGUUGUUUGCUAAUUGGUAUGACAAAGAUGAAGGGUUUUGAAAACAGAUCUCUGAACUAUUGUUUCCUUUACAACAUUCUCUUAGAACUUAGCAAAAUAAUGGCAAGUGGUUAUAAUUUACAGGAAGUUUAUUUAAAUUGUGUGGUUUUUUUUUUGAAGUGGUACCUUUGCAGUGGCAACUCAGAGCAGAGCCUUGCAAAUUUGCAACACAAGUGUGUCUCUAGGUAAAACCCACUUUUCUAAGUCUGCUGGUAACAGCUCUUUUGUUACAAGUGACUUUAGCAUUAUUGUGCCAUAAUCCUAGAUUGUGCAGCACAGAAAGAAAUGUGUUUUUAUGUGAGAAACCAGUAAGUCGGCAGUAGAAGUAAGUUUGUUUCCAUUUUUCACGAUACAGAUAGAAAAGAUUACUGUGCCAUUCAACAUUAAGGAAAAGUAUUGUGUACUAUACAAAGGGAACUCAAGAAAAUCACAGUUGAAAAAGUGAAAUUAAGACACUGUAAUGUGUCUUUCUUAUGGGCAUUUUUUCAAGGAAUUAGUAACUGAAUUUGCCACAGACUUCCCAAAUAGUAGCUCUUCAUAUCCAGCUCGUAGUAGUGAUAGAAAGAAUUGGAUUUGUGCUAUUAGACAUUUCAUUAUUACCUUGCUAUUUAAUAACUUUAUUCUCUUAGUUAAGCAGAAGGACUAAUUUUUCUUUUUAUUCAACCUGUUCUUGUACAGACUUUUAUUCUGAAAACGCCGAAGAUUCUUAAGUUUUCUGUUUACUAUUGGAAAUCACUCUUCCCAAGAUAUGAAUCUCAGAGCAGUCUUAUCAAAGCUGUAAUAAAAUUAGAGAAUUUGUGUCACAUUGAAGGGAAGGUGACCUAUAAAAUUAAUACUGUGUUGAUAUAUAUGAAUGUGUUAUGCAUUUAAUGAUUAGAGGCACAAUUAUCUUUUACUUUGUUACCACAUGUGCUUAUUUGUUAAAUUUUACUUACCCUUUAGGGAGUAGACAAAUUACAAAAUAUCACAUAUACAAACUGUCAUCCUUGAUUGUUUUCAAAUAUCUUCUAUUAAUUAGGACAAUUUUUAUUGAAUUAUUUGUUGUUGAGGUCAACAAAUUAUCAAGUGUUAUGCUAGUGGAUAAAGGCAAAUUUUUGUCUGUUCUGGAAAUAUGCACUGUGCAAUUAAAGCAGAUCCUUUGCAGCGUUCUGUUUGAAUGAUUACUGCUUCCCUUCUGUUUAUCUCCACGCAGGUAACAAUUCAGAUAGUACCUGUUGAAAAUAUGUAGAUUAAAAAAAAGUGAGGCCCUUUAUAUCAACUUUAAUGACUGCUGCAUAGAAAGCAUGUUUUCAUACCAUAUAUACUUUUUUUCUAAGUCAUUACUGAUUUUCUUAAAUUAUAUUGAUUUUAUAUCCCUAUAUAAUGUUUUUCAGAAGUGUAUUGUCAUCUGAAUAAUUUUUUUUCACUUCUUGACAAAAUGUGCAAGCAGUUUAACAUUACGUAAAUGGUAUGCAGUAGUUAAAUCAUGAAGCUGAAGAAUUCACAGAUUAACAGCUAGCAGUUAAAUUUCAUAUACUUUAUGUUCCAUCUACUUAAAUUACAAAUACUUAAGACUGUAUAGGAAGAGAAAGAAAGAAUAGCCUCAACAAAAUGUGUGUUAGCUUUUCAUACAGCUAUAGCAUAAAAGUAGCAUUGUGUCUGAUCCUGUAUUUUGAAAGCUCUGUAAUAAUAAUCAUAGUCCAUACCUCAGCCAUUUGAAUGAAAUUUGCUGUUUUGAUGUUAGGUAAUUUUUAUAUACAGAUUAGACUUUCCAAAAAGAUAGUUCAUCUACCUGAAAUAGAGCAGCUGAGAGUAUUUUGGAAGUCAGAUAUACAAGUGUAAAUAAAAGAUGAAUCUAUGGACAAUAUCUGUGUCUAGAUAGAGGAUAGACAGAAUUCUUUCUAGCAUAGAUUUUAUCAGCAUACCAGAGUUGUAUCAUAUACAUAGGCUAUAAGAUCCAUCCUGUCAUGAUGAAUAGGGUAUAUUUACACUUUCAGCACCUGCACUGGUUGAUAAGAUAUUUCAGUUGGAAGUUCAGUGGACUGGUGGUAGAAAAUUGGGAGUCUUAUUGUGUAUUGCUUCCUGUCUGCAAGAGAGAGAGAUAUUAUUACUAGUGAUUUUUAAAAGAAACAGUCACUGUUGAAGAAUAAUAGUUGAUUUUGGUUUUGGAUGGGAUUAUCUUUUGUGAAGCCUUGAGAUGUGUAAAGAGAUGUGAAAAAGAUAUUGUCCACACAUGAAAAUUCUACUCCUUCUUUUGGAAAGGAAUUCUGAUAACUGCAAAUUUUCAGUGCACAGAUUAAUACGAUAUUCUUUACAAUGUAUAGCUAAAAGCUCCCUUUUCCUAAGACAAAGACAAAUUACAUCCCUGUAUGCAAAUAAAAAUUCAGAGCACUAAUGUUUCCAUAUGUGCAUUUAGCUACAUAAAAUUAUAUUAUAAAUUGGAAGAGAUGAUGAUUUAUCUCUGUCAUGGUAUACUGUGAGAAAAAAAGCUUAAGUAGUUGACAGUCUGCUUCCAGGGGAAGAAUAUUAGACACUGUUUCAAUUUAAUGGAGAUUCUGAAUGCUAGUUUCAUGAAUAAGAACCUACUAUUUGAUUUUUAUAGUAUAUUUUCUUGGGACGAGAAUGCAGAAGUAGACUACAAUAAUUUAUAUAUAUAGACGGAUAAUGAACAUUUCUAGCAAAUCUUGAAUGGAUCAUUGCCUUUUGUGACCUGCUGCUUUUUCUAACAGCAUAAAAAUGUUAACUUCUUAAACAAUAAUCAAACCAUUCAAACAAUUUACAUUAACAUGGUCUAUUCUUUUGUGUACUGUUAAAAUGAAAAGUCAGAUUUAUUCUGGUUUAUGAGCAUUCUUAAAUUGUGAAUCAAAACUGAUGAGUGAACUAUUGGUAUAUAUUUGAGAACUAAGAAUGUUUUUAGUAUUUGUGAAAAGCGAUUUUUUUUUUUUUAAUUAAAAAACUGAGUUGCAGGAACAUUGUUUUCAAUAAUUCGUUUGCAUUUUCAUUGUGUUAGGUCUGUAUAGUUGUUUCAGUUAUUUUGCUUUGAUAGAACAGGUAGUUGUUUUAUCUAGUGUAAGCAAAGAAGACAAAAUAUAAAAGUAUUUGAAAAGUAUGUGUAUAUAAAAACAUGUUCAAA